UGAGGCAGUGGCCUGGGGCACACAGGCCUUCCUCACUCCAAUCACUCUUUCUUCCAUCCUCUCUGCUGCUCAACUCUGGCCACCACCCAAACAGACACACCACUUGGUAUACCAUUUUAGAAAAUGUAACGCAAAGCACUUUACUCUAUGCUACUGCCUGCUCUCCAUGAAUAAUGAGAGACUCUGGAUACAGCUGAUGGCUCAACUCAUCUUACAAGGCCUGAGUAAGAUCAUCAGGCAGACAGAAAGGCAAAUGGAUCCAAUAAAUUGAAACUGCAUCAGAGC